UACAGAGGUGGCAAGCGUUGUUCGGAAUUACUGGGCGUAAAGGGCGCGUAGGCGGUUCUGUAAGUCCUGUGUGAAAUCCCUCGGCUCAACUGAGGAAUGGCACGGGAAACUGCGGGGCUUGAGUUCGGGAGAGGGAAGCGGAAUUCCGGGUGUAGCGGUGAAAUGCGUAGAUAUCCGGAGGAACACCGGUGGCGAAGGCGGCUUCCUGGACCGACACUGACGCUGAGGCGCGAAAGCUAGGGGAGCAAACGGG
rnacentral:rRNA from 1 species